rnacentral:tRNA from 1 species
GAUUAGAAAUCUUUUGGGCUUUGCCCGCGCAGGUUCGAGUCCUGCAGUUGUCG